CCUACGGGAGGCAGCAGUGAGGAAUAUUGGUCAAUGGGCGCAAGCCUGAACCAGCCAAGUCGCGUGAGGGAUGACGGUCCUAUGGAUUGUAAACCUCUUUUGUCGGGGAGCAAGGCCCGCCACGUGUGGCGGGAAGGAGAGUACCCGAAGAAAAAGCAUCGGCUAACUCCGUGCCAGCAGCCGCGGUAAUACGGAGGAUGCGAGCGUUAUCCGGAUUUAUUGGGUUUAAAGGGUGCGUAGGCGGAAGGUUAAGUCCACGGUCAAAUGUCGGUGCUCAACACCGGCCUGCCGUUGAAACUGGUCGUCUUGAGUGAGCGAGAAGUAUGCGGAAUGCGUGGUGUAGCGGUGAAAUGCAUAGAUAUCACGCAGAACUCCGAUUGCGAAGGCAGCAUACCGGCGCUCAACUGACGCUGAGGCACGAAAGCGUGGGGAUCGAACAGGAUUAGAUACCCCGGUAGUC
rnacentral:rRNA from 1 species